rnacentral:lncRNA from 1 species
GACGCUGUUGCAGAACGCUACUCUUCUCUUUCUUAAUCUCAUUUUCAUUUGCCACUCUGUUCUGUCUUCACAAAACCAAAAGCGUUAUUCACAGAUUAUCUCUUUUUCCUUCCAUCAGAAUCAAAUGCUGUGGACCUAGAGUGUUUGUAGAAGACUCUAAGAAAACCUUAGGCCAAACCUCCCAAAUACAGUCUGCAUGUAUUAUCUAUCCAGGCCAACUGGCAAACUUGAUUGAGAAUAUUUUCUACAUUAGACUUCAAGAUAAUGGCCCAUUUAGGUUUCAGCUCAUUAACUCCUGGGAUCUUUUCUUUUGCAGAAAGAGCCUGCCUUGGUGUUGGUGUAACAGAGACCUUGUCCCCACUUCAUUCCUCGGACUCUAGCUACUUCUGUGAAUGAAUGAUUCUCCAACUUGGCCUGCAAUUCCCAAACCCCCGCCCGUGGUGCUGACGUGGCAUGCUGCGCUGGUUCUGUGUGAAGUCUGCAGCAUCCUCAUCCUGGUAACUCUGGGAGAUGCGGUGAGGCCAGUGCCUUCGGUGUGCUCUGCCGGAGACGGGGCGAGUCACUGUCGCCUCCGCGUUAUUUCUGGUGUCCCCAGGGCCUGUCAUCUGGGAACAGGUCAUGUAUUCAGAUGGGAUAUCAGUCUCAUUUAGACAUCUGGAAAAGAGAAAAAGCAGUUUCCCGUUUCCGCAUCAGCCUUUCCGUGAUGGACCAUGGGAAGUUGGCGUGGUUUGCGCAGGUGUCCACACUUGUACACAUGGGUGUGGUCACCCAACAGCCACCGGAAGAGGUCUGAAGGCAGACGGCUGUCAGAAAGGGACAUGUUCGAAACAUAAACCGGAUAGAUACACAAAUGAAUAAUCCCUCAAACUGCAAGUCUGGAUCUACAAUAUUCAAAGGACGGGAGGCAGGCAUCGCGCUGUAAGUGAUACACUUUAUCUAGAAGACAUACUUUGCCGUUACAAAGAGGUCAAAAGCACUUCAUUAAAAAUAUAUGGUCAGAAGAAAGAACCAAUUAUCGUUCACAUGAUAUGAGUGAUCAAUAUAAUUAAGAAAUGCACUCUCAAUAAAAAGACUAAUGAACAGUAUAUCCUAGCAGAACUGAUAUUGUAUGGGCGAUUAAAUAUUUAUCAAGCAUCAAAGCACAGCGAGAUGCUACAGGAUCCACAAAAAUAUUUUGUUGCUAAGGAAUCUAUUCCAAUACAAUAAUCCCACACAGCACAGGGAGGGUGUGGUCGAUGCUACUGACAGGUCAGAAAACCUGAGCUCCAGACAUUCAGACGAGGGUUCCCAAGUAUUCUUAUUUCUGUGCCAAGUACCCAAGGCAUAAUAUUCAGAGAAAAUUCAAUUAAUGAAAAGAUCAGUCAUAUUAUCUUAUAACUGUGCCUCUUUGGUAAAAAAAGUAUAGAUUCUGUCCUUUUUGAAAACGAAACUGGAUGGCGGGUUUGCUUAGAAGGAGGUGACAGAGCACCUUCACUGUCUCUCUGUCCGAAAAUAGAAGCGGAGGGAGGACCUAAGUCAGGUUUUUGGAAAACACGUGAAGUGUUUUCUAAGAUCAGGAAUGUGGUGUGAAGCGUUUAUCUCACUCAGCUGGGGUAGAACUUGCCAGUGGCCGCCCUGGGCGUUGUCCACACCCCGGUGACUCAGUUCUCUGGUUUAACUUCUUUCUUCACAGCGGGAUUCGGUGUUCUGGGUCUUCCCUGACACGCAGUGGCUCCAGGAUCCUGGCGCCUCUGAUCUGGGGCAGGGGGUGGGGGCACCAUCUUUAAUGCUGGGCCCUGGGUCCUUCCCCUUAGGGGACUGACCAGCAAAAACAGCCUGCAGGUCGUGCAUCACAGUCACAGUCGGCUCCGGGGUAACAGGUGUGAACUCUGCCUCCACCGCCCUGGGCAAGAAACCGGGCACGCAGCACCCAUCUAACACAGCCUUUCUGUGUCCAGAGAGAGGAGGACGGAUUGGUAAGGAUCUCAAGUUCUUGCUAUGGUCUCAGCUAUAAAAAUCAUCCAGGCUUGGCGCGGAUAUUUUGCAAAAGGUGGGAGGUAAGACUUGCGAGAAUUUGCUGCCAAGUGGGAGGCGGAAUGUGGAGGCAGCUUCCUCUGUGACGUUUCUGGAGCCACGUUCGUUCACUCAGCUGGACGUCCACUGAGAAGCUCCCUAGACCAGAAGAUAACGUCUAAGUCACGGCCUCUUCCUCCAGUCCCUCCUAGGUGAGGCGGUGGGGCUGGGCGGACGGCCUCUUCCUCCGG